GCCCUUGAGUUUGAUCCUGGCUCAGGAUGAACGCUAGCGGGAGGCUUAACACAUGCAAGUCGAGGGGCAGCAUAGGGUAGCAAUACUCUGAUGGCGACCGGCAAACGGGUGAGUAACGCGUAUGUAACCUACCCUGUACAGGGGGAUAACCCGGAGAAAUUCGGACUAAUAUCCCAUAACAAUAUCCGGGGGCAUCUUUGGAUAUUUAAAGUUCCGGCGGUACGGGAUGGGCAUGCGUAACAUUAGCUAGUUGGUAAGGUAACGGCUUACCAAGGCUUUGAUGUUUAGGGGUCCUGAGAGGGUGGUCCCCCACACUGGUACUGAGACACGGACCAGACUCCUACGGGAGGCAGCAGUGAGGAAUAUUGGUCAAUGGGCGCAAGCCUGAACCAGCCAUCCCGCGUGCAGGAAGACGGCGCUAUGCGUUGUAAACUGCUUUUCCAGGGAGAGAAACUUGCGCACGUGUUGCGCAAUUGACGGUACCCUGGGAAUAAGCAUCGGCUAACUCCGUGCCAGCAGCCGCGGUAAUACGGAGGAUGCGAGCGUUAUCCGGAUUCAUUGGGUUUAAAGGGUGCGUAGGCGGACUAUUAAGUCAGUGGUGAAAUCCUGCAGCUUAACUGCAGAACUGCCAUUGAUACUGAUAGCCUUGAGUUUGGUUAAGGUAGGCGGAAUGUGUAAUGUAGCGGUGAAAAU
rnacentral:rRNA from 1 species